AAAUGCAGGUUGUUCUCAAGGGAGUGGUAUUUUACAUUAUGCUCAUGGAGACAGUCAGCAAAUGCAUCUGUUAAAGCAAGGAAGAAGCUCGAUGGGCACUGGUCUUAGCAGUGGGAAACGCCCUAGUCAGGAAGAGGACUCACAGAGUAUUGGUCCCAAAGUCCAGAGACAGAGCACCAACUAAUUAGAAAACAUUCAGGAGGAAUACUGUUGCAGCUGAAAUUGGUGGGAAAUUCAAUACUUUUCAUUGAAUUAUUUAAAAAUGUUCUUCAUUGAUGGAAAGCAGUUACAUUUCAAAUGCAUUAUUUCUAAUGCCAUUUCUGUGGUUUCAACUUUUUAAUGAAUUUCAUGUAGGACAAAUGAUAAUUUGUAUAUAAAGAACUUGGCAAAAUAAUUUGCUUAAUGUAAAUAUAGUCAUAAUUAGUAGAUACCCAUCAGUAUAUUUUUGAUAAAUUUUCAUGUAUGGUAAAAGUUAAAAAUGAAAACUGGUAUUCUGACAUAAAAUUCAAAGUUGGAAGAGUCAGUUUGGGAAAGAAGGAGGUUUUUAGACUUUCUUAAAAAAAACUUUGUUAAAAUCCUAGGACAAAAUUUUCUUAACAUUGUUGUUUGAUCUAAUGUCACGCUCUUUGAUAACCAUGUUUUAGAAAAUGUGUGUAAUCAAAAUUAGUAGUGUUGCCUCUUUUAACUUGUCCAUUCUAUGUUUUAAAGCUUCAUGUAUGCCUGUGCCUGUCUUGGCCCAAACUUCUGGGAAAAUCAUGUGUUCUCUUUCUCCUCUUUGUUCAUUUAUAACUAAAAUGACUUUGUUAUUAAAGUAUAUGCAAAU